rnacentral:rRNA from 1 species
UACGAAGGGGGCUAGCGUUGCUCGGAAUUACUGGGCGUAAAGGGCGCGUAGGCGGCGCAGUUAGUCAGGCGUGAAAUUCCUGGGCUCAACCUGGGGACUGCGCUUGAUACGGCUGUGCUAGAGGAUGGAAGAGGCUCGCGGAAUUCCCAGUGUAGAGGUGAAAUUCGUAGAUAUUGGGAAGAACACCGGUGGCGAAGGCGGCGAGCUGGUCCAUUACUGACGCUGAGGCGCGACAGCGUGAGGAGCAAACAGG